rnacentral:rRNA from 1 species
UAAGCAUCGGCUAACUCCGUGCCAGCAGCCGCGGUAAUACGGGGGAUGCAAGCGUUAUCCGGAAUCAUUGGGCGUAAAGCGCCUGUAGGUUGUUUGUUAAGUCUGUUGUUAAAGGCUAGGGCUCAACCCUAGAAAUGCGAUGGAAACUAAUAGACUAGAGUAUGGUAGGGGUAGAGGGAAUUUCUAGUGUAGCGGUGAAAUGCGUAGAUAUUAGAAAGAACACCGGUGGCGAAGGCGCUCUACUGGACCAUUACUGACACUCAGAGGCGAAAGCUAGGGGAGCAAAAGGGAUUAGAUACCCCUGUAGUCCUAGCCGUAAACGAUGGAUACUAGAUGUUGCGCAUUACGUGCAGUAUCGUAGCUAACGCGUUAAGUAUCCCGCCUGGGGAGUACGCUCGCAAGGGUGAAACUCAAAGGAAUUGACGGGGGCCCGCACAAGCGGUGGAGCAUGUGGUUUAAUUCGAUGCAACGCGAAGAACCUUACCAGGGCUUGACAUACUACAGAUCCCUUUGAAAAAAGGGAGUGCCUUCGGGAAUGUAGAUACAGGUGGUGCAUGGCUGUCGUCAGCUCGUGUCGUGAGAUGUUGGGUUAAGUCCCGCAACGAGCGCAACCCUUAUUUUUAGUUACCAAUUCGUUGGGUUCUCUAGAAAGACUGCCGGUGACAAACCGGAGGAAGGUGAGGAUGACGUCAAGUCAGCAUGCCCCUUAUGUCCUGGGCUACACACGUGCUACAAUGGCUAAGACAAAGAGUCGCAAGCUCGCGAGAGUCAGCUAAUCUCAUAAACUUAGCCCAAGUUCAGAUUGCAGGCUGCAACUCGC